AAAACUUUUGAUGCUUAGCUGGCUGGGAAACUAUGCACAGCCCUUGGGAUAGUUUAACCCGAAGAAAGGUUCAAAAUUAAUCAUGCCAGGAAAGAGAGAAGGGCUGAUUAGAAUGGAAGAUGAGCACAAAUGAAUACUGUCAUUUUUGUUUGACUCAGAAGAUUACUUUCUUGUCCUGCAAAACGCCACAUGAGAGGUGUGGAGGAAAAAAAAUACUACAUCAUGAGAUUUGUUGUGGUGUCCCUGGAAGACAAGAUUG